rnacentral:rRNA from 1 species
CAGUCGCCGCGGUAAUACGGAGGGUGCAAGCGUUAAUCGGAAUUACUGGGCGUAAAGCGUGCGUAGGCGGUUCGUUAAGUCUGUUGUGAAAGCCCCGGGCUCAACCUGGGAAUGGCAAUGGAUACUGGCGAGCUAGAGUGUGUCAGAGGAUGGUGGAAUUCCCGGUGUAGCGGUGAAAUGCGUGGAGAUCGGGAGGAACAUCAGUGGCGAAGGCGGCCAUCUGGGACAACACUGACGCUGAGGCACGAAAGCGUGGGGAGCAAACAGGAUUAGAUACCCGUGUAGUCCCUGUCUCUUAUAA